rnacentral:lncRNA from 1 species
GCAGAAAUUUACAAGCUCCAGUACGUGACUUUGACCUGAAUGCGGUCUUGGAUGAGAAUGGAGAAACACAACCAGGGUUAGCUUCUGUCCCUGCAAGUUCCUUAACAAAACCUGACACUGUUGUCCCUCCAAGUUCCUUAACAAAACCUGACACUGUUGUCCCUGCAAGUUCCUUAACAAAACCUGUUGUCCCUGCAAGUUCCGUAACAAAACCUGAAACUGUUGUCCCUACAAGGUCCUUAACAAAACCUGACACUGUUGUCCCUGCAAGUUCCUCAACAAAACCAACUCCUGAAUUGAAGCAUGAGGAAGUGCCUGGAUGGUCCCUUGAAGACAAUGAAAAGAUGGAUAUCAAUCCCGUUCAACUUGCAAACUUAAAUACAAC